AUUUGGCUUAGUUAGGGGGCGGAGACUAAACCUUUUUGAUGCAAAGAUUCAAUCUUUAAAGGGACUCUUUGUUCUUCUUCAUCAAUUGUCCUAUAAGCAUCUUUUGAACACUC
rnacentral:snoRNA from 1 species